rnacentral:rRNA from 1 species
UAGGGAAUCUUCGGCAAUUGACGAAAGUCUGACCGAGCAACGCCGCGGGAGUGAAGAAGGUUCUCGGAUCGGAAAACUCUUUUGUUAGAGAAGAACAAGGACGUUAGUAACUGAACGUCCCCUGACGGUAUCUAACCAGAAAGCCACGGCUAACUACGUGCCAGCAGCCGCGGUAAUACGUAGGUGGCAAGCGUUGUCCGGAUUUAUUGGGCGUAAAGCGAGCGCAGGCGGUUUCUUAAGUCUGAUGUGAAAGCCCCCGGCUCAACCGGGGAGGGUCAUUGGAAACUGGGAGACUUGAGUGCAGAAGAGGAGAGUGGAAUUCCAUGUGUAGCGGUGAAAUGCGUAGAUAUAUGGAGGAACACCAGUGGCGAAGGCGGCUCUCUGGUCUGUACCUGACGCUGAGGCUCGAAAGCGUGGGGAGCAAACGGG